CCAUUUCAAUUAAAAAAAUUUAGCGACAUUCUCACUCAAAAUACCUUCUAGUGCUCUCUCAUUUAAGAAAUCUGGCAACAUUCUCACUUAAAAUAUCUUUUGAUGCUCUCUCAUUUAAAAAAAUUUGGUGGCUUUCUCAAAUAUUUUGGUGUUCUCUCAUUUAAAAAUCUGGUGGCUCUCUCACUUAAAGAAAAAAUUUUGGUGCA
rnacentral:lncRNA from 1 species